rnacentral:lncRNA from 1 species
CUUGCAUCACAGCUGUGGCAGCCAAAUGUGGCCUUCCACCAGAAAAGCAGAAGAAUGCAAGUCGAAGAGUUCAAUAAGAAGAAUUAUUGGAAGAAGAAAGGCAUUGCUAUUAUUCCCAUGAAGUUUUCAGUUGGCUUUGCUGCAACAAGCUACCAUCAGGCAGCUGCACUGGUUCAUAUCUACACAGAUGGGUCUGUGUUGGUCACACAUGGAAGCAAUGAACUGGGACAAGGUAUUCACACCAAAAUGCUACAGAGAAACUGGAAGGAAAAGAGCAGAAAAGAAGCCAGGUGCAGUGGCAUGCACCUGUAGUCCCAGCUACUCAGGAGGCUGAAGCAGGAGGAUCACUUGAGUCCAGGAGUUCAAGAUCAGCCUGGACAACACAGUGGCCAGCCAUGAGCUAAAAAUACCCAUGUCCUAUAUGCACAUCUGUGAAACGAGCACAGCAACAGUGCCCAAUACAAUUGCUACAGCAGCGUCUAUCGGUGCAGAUGUCAACGGCAGAGCUGUGCAGAAUGCUUGUCAGAUCCUUCUGAAACGCCUUGAGCCCAUCAUUAAGAAACAUCCGGAAGGUAAAUGGGAAGACUGGAUAGAAGCUGCAUUUGAACAAAGAAUCAGUCUCUCAGCCACUGGAUACUUCAGGGGCUACAAGGCCUUCAUGGACUGGGAGAAGGGGGUGGGGGACCCAUUUCCUUACUAUGUCUGCAGAGCUGCCUGUUCUGAGGUUGAAAUUGACUGCCUGACAGGUGCUCACAAGAAAAUCAGAACGGACAUCAUCAUGGAUGCAUGUUGCAGCCUAAAUCCAGCCAUUGAUAUUGGGCAGAUUGAAGGUUUGUUUAUUCAGGGAAUGGGGCUUUAUACCACUGAAGAACUGAAAUAUUCCCCAGAAGGUGUCCUGUACUCUCGGAGCCCAGAUGAGUACAAAAUUCCAACCAUCACUGAUGUCCCAGAGGAGUUCAAUGUCUCCUUGCUGCCAUCAUCACAAACCCCACUAACCAUCUAUUCGUCUAAGGGCCUCGGGGAGUCUGGGAUGUUCCUGGGGUCAUCUGUGUUCUUUGCCAUUGCUGACGCUGUGGCCGCAGUGCGAAGAGAAAGAGACAUAGCUGAGGACUUCACGGUGAAGAGCCCAGCAACGCCAGAAUGGGUUCGAAUGGCCUGUGCAGAUCGAUUCACAGAAAUGCAAUGAUUACAAUCACCUGCCUCUGGACAGAUGCCCUCCUCAGAUGGGCAGGGCCGGGAAACCAGCACCCUCCACCCACUCCAGGAACUCCUCUGUGCGGAUCUUGGCCUAGAGAUCCCAAGAGAUGACCCUGAGACAUUUAAACCUUGGUCUAUCCCUAUAGCAUAACACUGCUAUCAUUCCCUAAAAGGUGUUUCAGUUUUUCACAAGUAAAAAGAUGGCUUGUUAAUCCUAACUGGGUUCCAAACUUAUAUUCUUAUACUGUUGUAGAAAAAAAUAGACACAAAAUUUAG